UACGAAGGGGGCUAGCGUUGCUCGGAAUCACUGGGCGUAAAGGGUGCGUAGGCGGGUCUUUAAGUCAGAGGUGAAAUCCUGGAGCUCAACUCCAGAACUGCCUUUGAUACUGAGGAUCUUGAGUUCGGGAGAGGUGAGUGGAACUGCGAGUGUAGAGGUGAAAUUCGUAGAUAUUCGCAAGAACACCAGUGGCGAAGGCGGCUCACUGGCCCGAGUACUGACGCUGAGGCGCGAAAGCGUGGG
rnacentral:rRNA from 1 species